AACGAACGCUGGCGGCAGGCUUAACACAUGCAAGUCGAGCGCCCCGCAAGGGGAGCGGCAGACGGGUGAGUAACGCGUGGGAAUCUACCCAUCUCUACGGAAUAACGCAUGGAAACGUGUGCUAAUACCGUAUACGUCCUUCGGGAGAAAGAUUUAUCGGAGAUGGAUGAGCCCGCGUUGGAUUAGCUAGUUGGUGGGGUAAAGGCCUACCAAGGCGACGAUCCAUAGCUGGUCUGAGAGGAUGAUCAGCCACACUGGGACUGAGACACGGCCCAGACUCCUACUGGAGGCAGCAGUGGGGAAUAUUGGACAAUGGGCGCAAGCCUGAUCCUGCCAUGACGCGUGAGUGAUGAAGGCCCUAGGGUUGUAAAGCUCUUUCACCGGUGAAGAUAAUGGCGGUAACCGGAGAAGAAGCCCCGGCUAACUUCGUGCCAGCCGCCGCAGUAAAAC
rnacentral:rRNA from 1 species